CUGUCUAUAUCCUAGUAUAAAAUGCUAUAAGAUAUAGACUUAAGUGAAAAAAGCAAGAUGAAUUAAAGCAUGUAUGGUAUGCUACAAUUUGUCUAAAAAAAUAUGCAGUACUUAUUUUUUAAUGCAAUAAGAUAAAAGAUAUAAGAUUGAAAAUGAAAUAACGCUUAUAAUGAAUAAAGUGUAUAAUGUGAUUGUGUACAAGGACAUUUAGUCCUUUGCCUAAAGGAAUCUCCAAGUAAACUACUAGAACUAAUAAGUAAAUUUAGUCAAAUCAGAAGACAAAGCGCCAACAUACCAAAACAUCAAAAGGCCAAUAGGCAAAUGAAAAGAUAGUGAACAUCAUUAGUCAUCAAGAAAAUAAAAAUUACAAUAAGAAAAUACCACCACCUCUUUUCCUCCCUGGCUGCUUGAAGAUCAGCCGCCAUCAUGAACGACACAGUAACUAUCCGGACUAGGAAGUUCAUGACCAACCAACUGAUUCAGUGGAAACAAAUGGUCAUUGAUGUUCUUCACCCUGGAAAGGCAACAGUACCUAAAACAGAAAUUUGGGAAAAACUGGCCAAAAUGUACAAGACCACACCAGAUGUCAUCUUUGUAUUUGGAUUCAGAACCCAUUUUGGUGGUGGCAAGACAACUGGCUUCAGCAUGAUUUACGAUUCCUUGGAUUACGCGAAGAAGAAUGAGCCCAAACAUAGGCUUGCUAGACAUGGCCUGUAUGAGAAGAAAAAGACCUCAAGAAAACAACGAAAGGAACGCAAGAACAGAAUGAAGAAAGUCAGGGGGACUGCAAAGGCCAAUGUUGGUGCUGGCAAAAAGUGAGCUGGAGGUUGGACAACAGAAGAAGUAAAGAUUCUGCAGUGACUGUAUCUGUGGUGCUUGUGCAGAUUUUUCAUGAAAGAAUAAACUAAGACAUUUUAC